rnacentral:lncRNA from 1 species
UAACGACUGAAGCCUCCUUCAUCGUACCUUUCGUCUUCCUCAAGUCCUCUUCUGUUACUCUGCCAUUGAAGCCGCCAUAAAUAGUCUCUGCCGGUAGCGAAGCUCUAAUCGACCCCAAAACUCUACCCUAAAGUCCUAUCCUCACCCCCAUUCCAUUCCCACCAUUAUUUUCUCCCAAAACCCAGCAUAAACUCUAGAAUUUCAAAUCUGAAGAUGGGUGAAAAACCGUAGUCCGCCCCAAACUUACAAAAUCUAUAUAAAAGGGUCCUCAGACCUCCUCUCCCAUAAACAUAUGCUCAAAACCUCUCAAAACUCUCUGAAUUUCAUUGAAUGGGAAAGCUAGGGUUCAUCAGUUUUUGAGCUUUUCUUUGAAGAUUUGAAGUCGAGUCGAAUUCCCUACUAGUGUUUGAAUGGGCAAAUAACAUUAACAGGGUGUCGAAUCCGUU